rnacentral:tRNA from 3 species
GCGGAUAUGGCGGAACUGGCAGACGCGCACGGUUCAGGUCCGUGUGAAUAUUGUUUUCGUGGAGGUUCGAAUCCUCUUAUCCGCACCA